CAGUAGCCGCGGGAACACGGAGGGUGCAAGCGUUAUCCGGAUUUAUUGGGUUUAAAGGGUCCGUAGGCGGAUCUGUAAGUCAGUGGUGAAAUCUCACAGCUUAACUGUGAAACUGCCAUUGAUACUGCAGGUCUUGAGUAAAUUUGAAGUGGCUGGAAUAAGUAGUGUAGCGGUGAAAUGCAUAGAUAUUACUUAGAACACCAAUUGCGAAGGCAGGUCACUAAGAUUUAACUGACGCUGAUGGACGAAAGCGUGGGGAGCGAACAGGAUUAGAUACCCGCGUAGUCCCUGUCUCUUAUAC
rnacentral:rRNA from 1 species